AUUGAACGCUGGCGGCAGGCCUAACACAUGCAAGUCGGACGGUAGCACAGAGGAGCUUGCUCCUCGGGUGACGAGUGGCGGACGGGUGAGUAAUGUCUGGGGAUCUGCCCGAUAGAGGGGGAUAACCACUGGAAACGGUGGCUAAUACCGCAUAACGUCGCAAGACCAAAGAGGGGGACCUUCGGGCCUCUCACUAUCGGAUGAACCCAGAUGGGAUUAGCUAGUAGGCGGGGUAAUGGCCCACCUAGGCGACGAUCCCUAGCUGGUCUGAGAGGAUGACCAGCCAAACUGGAACUGAGACACGGUCCAGACUCCUACGGGAGGCAGCAGUGGGGAAUAUUGCACAAUGGGCGCAAGCCUGAUGCAGCCAUGCCGCGUGUAUGAAGAAGGCCUUCGGGUUGUAAAGUACUUUCAGCGGGGAGGAAGGCGGUGAGGUUAAUAACCUCGCCGAUUGACGUUACCCGCAGAAGAAGCACCGGCUAACUCCGUGCCAGCAGCCGCCGUAA
rnacentral:rRNA from 1 species